UUAAAUCCCAUAAUAAAACUUCAUAUUAUAAUUAAAAGUAUCGACUCAUAAGUCUUCUCCAAAUGUUCAUCACACCAAAACAUAAACAUCUGAGAGCAUACAUUUUUUCGUAGAAAAUAUCAACAUAAAACAAAGAAAAUCGCUCCCUAGUAUUACAUAUCAGAGCAUAACAAAAACUAAAACAACGAAACUAAAGGAAAUAGCCAUGGAGUUAGCUUCCACUCGUAGUAGCGUCUAUACUCUUGAGUAUCUGCACGAUGCCCCAUGUAAAGGAAACAUUCAAACAGAAGGGAUGAGAAAUCAUAAACAAUAAUAAUGUUCAUAUACUACAAGGUAGGAUAAUAACACAACACCUCUAUAGAAUUUCAUUCACAGUAUAUCUCAUCACAAUCCCACACCCAAACUCAUCAAUCAAUGACAACUCAACAAUUAUGCAUAUAACUCAUUGUGCAAUGUAACUCAACUAUGCAACUCUAUGCAUAUAUAUAUGUGGUACCAACUUAAUAUUCAGUUCUCUCUAGAACCAGGUCCCCUCUUCUGAACCCACGAGCCCCCUCUUAUGAUCUCCAAGCCCACUCUUUUGAACUUGGGACAAGCCAUUAGUCCCUUCUUUUGAACUAGCAAACAUGCCUCUUGACAUAACUCUUAUGAUGCAUGAUCAUAUCAUCAAAUCAAAAAGUUUAGACUCAUCUUCUGAUCCUAACAUAAUGCAUUGACAACUCUAGUAAUCCCUUCUCUGGAUUAUAUCACACCAAAAUCAUAAAAUACAGAUUAUCAAUCAACAAUGCAACAUAAGCAUGCUAAUAAUUCAUCUCAACAGAAUUAUAUUUCAAACAACACAUCAAUUUAACCAACUCAUUAUGCAAACAUAAGGAUCACAACAAUUAAUCAUACAAUGUUCCAUAAAUAACAUCAAAACAUAAAUAGCAUACAACAACGUAGUUCCCUUUCGAACUAUCACCACUACAAUAACAAUCAUGCAUAUUCAGAUACAAGCAUCAUAUAACCCAAAUAUUCAUACACCAUAUAAAACCAAAUUUAUGCAGACAAAACAUCAUCUUUCGUUAAUCAAAUAACAACACCAAAUAUCAGUAUCAAUUUAAUUAUAACAAUUAAAUCAUUUUUCUAAAUCAAUUAUUAACACUCAACAACCCAAUAUAAUCAUGCAGUUAAUUAAUUAAAGUCAUCCAAAACAUGCCCAACAGCAGAUAACAUGAAUUGCACGACAACACAACUAGGGGUGGCAAACGGGCAUGCCCGCCCCGUUUAGGCCCGUCCCGCAAAAGCCCACGAAAAAACGGGGCGGGGCGGGGCGGGACGGUCAUAGUAGAGGAUGCGGGCCUAAAACUUAGACCCGCCCCGCAAAAAAUUGAGGGCGGGGCGGGGAAAGCCUGCGGACACUGCACUCUUUAAGCCUAAAAAUGCAAAAAUAUAUGUAAAUACACGUGCCCGCAAAAGCCCGCGAAAAAAACAGGGCGGGGCGGGGCGGACACAUUUGAGGGUGAGGGCCUAAAUCCUUGGCCCGCCCCGCACAAAAGUGCGGGCAAAACGGGCAUUCCCCGCGGGCCGAGCCCGUUUUGCCACCCCUAAACACAACACAUAAAAUAGUAGGUAAAAUAGCCACCAAAAUUACACCUUAAGUAAAAUAAUAUAUUCACUUCAUUAAGUACAUGUUCAGCCUCUUAAGGUAUCACCAUGAGAUAGUACUACAUGUUAGCUUUCCAACGCUUUGAACCGCGUCUCAAACGGAGUCACGGAUCUCAAAUUAUGAUAUUUUUUGUUAGGCGUAGCGGAAGUCGAGGGUUGACGGACGUCAUCCAGAACUGGGUUUUUUCCCAUGGCCAGUUUGUCACUAAGUCCCAGAAUCCGUGGGUGAAUACCCAAUAUUUACUUUUCUGCACUUUCCACCAUAGAAGCCCUUUCGGACCUCCGAUUUUUCGAUUCCGUAAAAUGUUCAGAUCUCAGAAUUCGAUGUACUACAAAUAUCCGAUGAUUAAAACCACAAAUUCAAAACUUAUCACAGAUUAACAUCAACAAAAUCAUGUAUUUUCAUACUUUCACAUUUACCCUAAAACUUUAAACCUUCAACAGUGAUGGAAAAUAUUAACAAUUUCAAAACAGUAACAUCAUUCCAUAUUUUAUAUGAAAAUACACAUCAAUUCAGUCAAUCGACAUCAUAAUAUCAUAGAAACUCAAAACUUCAUGAACAAAUCAAUGCCCUAUUAGAGGUUAAGGACUCCUCUACCCUACCCCUCAUGCGUAAGCCCUUUUAAGACCUAUUUUCCCCUCUUACCUUAGAAUUCCAACAAGCAAG
rnacentral:lncRNA from 1 species